GGCAUCCUUGGCCUGGCCGUAGAGGUUCUCGGCCUGACCGGCCGCCUCGCGGACGCGGCCCUCGGCCGAGUCGCGGUGCGAGCCGGUGAGGUCGCCG
rnacentral:tRNA from 1 species